rnacentral:rRNA from 1 species
AUUGAACGCUGGCGGCAGGCCUAACACAUGCAAGUCGAGCGGUAGAGAGAAGCUUGCUUCUCUUGAGAGCGGCGGACGGGUGAGUAAUGCCUAGGAAUCUGCCUGGUAGUGGGGGAGAACGUUCGGAAACGGACGCUAAUACCGCAUACGUCCUACGGGAGAAAGCAGGGGACCUUCGGGCCUUGCGCUAUCAGAUGAGCCUAGGUCGGAUUAGCUAGUUGGUGGGGUAAUGGCUCACCAAGGCGACGAUCCGUAACUGGUCUGAGAGGAUGAUCAGUCACACUGGAACUUAGACACGGUCCAGACUCCUACGGGAGGCAGCAGUGGGGAAUAUUGGACAAUGGGCGAGAGCCUGAUCCAGCCAUGCCGCGUGUGUGAAGAAGGUCUUCGGAUUGUAAAGCACUUUAAGUUGGGAGGAAGGGCAGUAAAUUAAUACUUUGCUGUUUUGACGUUACCGACAGAAUAAGCACCGGCUAACUCUGUG